UUGACUCCGCCCAUAACAGAGGUUUUAAAAAGCUUAGCGCACUCCCAAUCUCAUCUCUAAGAAGACAGAGAAGAAGAAGCAGAAGAAGACUGACAGAGAGUUUUUGAGAGAAAGAGAGUUUUUCAACAUCAGAAGCCAGAAACAGCUUUCCAGAAGCUCAGCAGAGGCCCUGCCUGCCAGUCCCUCCCCAUGGGCUGGGCAGGAUGGAGGCCACUCUGCAUCUCCCGCUGGGUUGAACAAACAGCACCGUUUAAUUUCGACUCUACAUCUGAGUUUGAUUUUAUAGAAGUUAAAUAAGCUAAUUGUAAUUCAUGCGUCGUUUUUAGUUUGUUUUCUCUACAACGUUGAAAUCAAAUUAAGAAGUCUUGCAACCGCCUGGGGAGGACCAGACCAUGUUGUCACCAGGGAGUGACCCCCUUCUCUGACCAAGGGACCAGUUGAGUUUUACAGGCAGAUCGCCUGACAUCCAGCUUGCAUGAAGAAUCUACCAGGGAGACGACCCCCAGAGAUGACCUUCAACCACUGACUUCCCCUCCUGGUACCCACAUGGCGGAACAAAAGGGCGCAGCACACUGAUCCCCUGGAACAUGGGUGAGAGAGGGAUUGAAGAAGGUAAUUACACAAAACUCUGUAUCAACACCCGGAGAGAGAGCUGUCUGUCAGGAWCGCAGCACACAAACAGCAAACAAUGGACGGAACAGCUGAAAAGGCCACAGACGGUCUGCCUGACACGCUGGAGGGAGCAUAUUAACUAACUAAAUGAUGAUGUUUCUUAUCUGCGAGUCGCUCUGAAGAAAAUUAGAAAGAAAAAAGAAAUAGGCUUUCAUGGAAGAGAUGAAGACGCAGCCAGCCUUGAGACCACGACUUUGGCUCUGAAUCAUCCAAGGGCACAAGUACAAACGCUUAGAGUGAUUAUACAAAAAAAAAAAAAAAAAAAAA